rnacentral:rRNA from 1 species
AGGUAAGCUACUAAGAGCGAAUGGUGGAUGCCUUGACUGGUAAAGGCGAUGAAGGACGUACUAGACUGCGAUAAGCUACGGGGAGCUGUCAAGAAGCUUUGAUCCGUAGAUUUCCGAAUGGGGCAACCCAAUGUAUAGAGAUAUACAUUACCUAUAUAGGAGCGAACGAGGGGAAUUGAAACAUCUUAGUACCCUCAGGAAAAGAAAUCAAUAGAGAUUGCGUCAGUAGCGGCGAGCGAAAGCGCAAGAGGGCAAACCCAGUGCUUGCACUGGGGGUUGUAGGACUGCAAUGUGCAAGAGGUAAGUUUAGCAGAACAUUCUGGAAAGUAUAACCAUAGAGGGUGAUAGUCCCGUAUGCGAAAAACAAACCUUAGCUAGCAGUAUCCUGAGUAGGGCGGGACACGAGGAAUCCUGUCUGAAUCUGGGUCGACCACGAUCCAACCCUAAAUACUAAUACCAGAUCGAUAGUGCACAAGUACCGUGAGGGAAAGGUGAAAAGAACUGAGGUGAUCAGAGUGAAAUAGAACCUGAAACCAUUUGCUUACAAUCAUUCAGAGCCCUAUGUAGCAAUACAGGGUGAUGGACUGCCUUUUGCAUAAUGAGCCUGCGAGUUGUGGUGUCUGGCAAGGUUAAGCAAACGCGAAGCCGUAGCGAAAGCGAGUCUGAAUAGGGCGCUUAGUCAGAUGCUGCAGACCCGAAACGAAGUGAUCUAUCCAUGAGCAAGUUGAAGCUAGUGUAAGAACUAGUGGAGGACUGAACCCAUAGGCGUUGAAAAGCCCCGGGAUGACUUGUGGAUAGGGGUGAAAGGCCAAUCAAACUUCGUGAUAGCUGGUUCUCUCCGAAAUAUAUUUAGGUAUAGCGUUGUGUCGUAAUAUAAGGGGGUAGAGCACUGAAUGGGCUAGGGCAUACACCAAUGUACCAAACCCUAUCAAACUCCGAAUACCUUAUAUGUAAUCACAGCAGUCAGGCGGCGAGUGAUAAAAUCCGUCGUCAAGAGGGAAACAACCCAGACUACCAGCUAAGGUCCCUAAAUCUUACUUAAGUGGAAAACGAUGUGAAGUUACUUAAACAACCAGGAGGUUGGCUUAGAAGCAGCCAUCCUUUAAAGAAAGCGUAAUAGCUCACUGGUCUAGUGAUUUUGCGCGGAAAAUAUAACGGGGCUAAAGUAAGUACCGAAGCUGUAGACUUAGUUUACUAAGUGGUAGGAGAGCGUUCUAUUUGCGUCGAAGGUAUACCGGUAAGGAGUGCUGGAGCGAAUAGAAGUGAGCAUGCAGGCAUGAGUAGCGAUAAUUAAUGUGAGAAUCAUUAACGCCGUAAACCCAAGGUUUCCUACGCGAUGCUCGUCAUCGUAGGGUUAGUCGGGUCCUAAGUCGAGUCCGAAAGGGGUAGACGAUGGCAAAUUGGUUAAUAUUCCAAUACCAACAUUAGUGUGCGAUGGAAGGACGC